AGUGAACGCUGGCGGUAGGCCUAACACGUGCAAGUCGAACGGCAGCACAGUAAGAGCUUGCUCUUACGGGUGGCGAGUGGCGGACGGGUGGGGAAUACAUCGGAAUCUACUUUUUCGUGGGGGAUAACGUAGGGAAACUUACGCUAAUACCGCAUACGAACUACGGGUGAAAGCAGGGGAUCUUCGGACCUUGCGCGAGUGAAUGAGCCGAUGUCGGAUUAGCUAGUUGGCGGGGUAAAGGCCCACCAAGGCGACGAUCCGUAGCUGGUCUGAGAGGAUGAUCAGCCACACUGGAACUGAGACACGGUCCAGACUCCUACGGGAGGCAGCAGUGGGGAAUAUUGGACAAUGGGCGCAAGCCUGAUCCAGCCAUACCGCGUGAGUGAAGAAGGCCUUCGGGUUGUAAAGCCCUUUUGUUGGGAAAGAAAAGCAGCAGGUUAAUCCCCCGCUGUUCUGACGGUACCCAAAGAAUAAGCACCGGCUAACUUCGUG
rnacentral:rRNA from 1 species